rnacentral:rRNA from 1 species
AUUGAACGCUGGCGGCAUGCCUUACACAUGCAAGUCGAACGGUAACAGGUCUUCGGAUGCUGACGAGUGGCGAACGGGUGAGUAAUGCAUCGGAACGUGCCCAGUAGUGGGGGAUAGCCCGGCGAAAGCCGGAUUAAUACCGCAUACGACCUGAGGGUGAAAGGGGGGGAUCGCAAGGCCUCUCGCUAUUGGAGCGGCCGAUGUCAGAUUAACUAGUUGGUGGGGUGAAGGACUACCAAGGCAACGAUCUGUAGUUGGUCUGAGAGGACGACCAGCCACACUGGGACUGAGACACGGCACAGACUCCUACGGGAGGCAGCAGUGGGGAAUUUUGGACAAUGGGCGCAAGCCUGAUACAGCAAUGCCGCGUGCAGGAAGAAGGCCUUCGGGUUGUAAACUGCUUUUGUCAGGGAAGAAAUCUUCUGGGUUAAUACCUCGGGAGGAUGACGGUACCUGAAGAAUAAGCACCGGCUAACUACGUGCCAGCCGCCGCCGUAACAC